rnacentral:lncRNA from 1 species
AGUGCUUUCCUGCGGACGUGCGCUGCUGCCCAGCCUCAGGCUCCAGUCCUGCGCUGGCUGCUGCUGGCUGUCGUCAGCGAUGCCGCCGCCGGCCACAAGGUGGCAGUGCCGUGCUGCGUGGCUACACGCCCCUGGAAGCACCGGACCAGCCUUGGUCUGGCAAAAGUUUUCCAGUCUUUCCAGCAGAUGCGCCCAGGCCGUGAGCCCUCCCGGGCGGCCUGGAGGCAAGGGAUCGGGUGGGGGUGGGGUAGCCGCCGAUGUCCUGGGUGGCUUUGGGGGCGAUUUGCAAAGGCAUGCAUUUGUUGUUAAGAGCUCGGAGAAACAGUUUGGGGGAGCCUGUCACAGAUGCAAAGUCUGUUGAUAUUUCCAGGAGUGUUUGGUUUGGUUUGGGCUUUAGGGACCUACAGCAAGCAUCGAUUCUCGUGGAGGCGAACAACACUGACAGCUACUCUUUGUCUCUCGUCGGGAUUCUGAACAGAGCCCGACGUCGCUUCCAUUUCAGAGAUAUAUGCCGCUGACACUACCUUGAGAGAGCUCCUGCCUCCAUGGUUCCUGACCUGCCUAGAAGGGGAGGGCGCAGGAGACUCUUGUUCUACAGCUGUCCUCGGGAUGCCCUCAAUUCCCAGGCGCAGGGAUAAGCUUGUCUGACCCCAUUUGACCCCGCCGCAGGCGCCAGGCGUCCUCAUUUAUUGCGAGGCCUAAGAGUCCUCAAGGCUUACUGCCUGCCUACCCCCCUCCCCCACCACCCGCCGCUCUUCGUUUUUUGGUGUUUUGUUUUGUUUUGUUUUGUUUUUCCUCUCCUUGUCCUGUGCGGGAAUCAUAUGCCUCCUUCCUGUUGUCUAAGCUCCCCUCUUCCGUAGGCACAAACCUGCCCCCUCUGCGUUUUUUACCUUAAAACAGGUGUUCUGAGGAUUGUCUCUAGUUCUGGCGACGUCUUGAAAGAACUGAGUCUGAGCGAGGCAGACAGACGGCAGCAUUAGUGGUGAUGGAGCUGCACUGCUAAAUGUGGAGAUGGGAGGGGAAACACACCUGGGCUUCCACAGGGCAGGAGAAGAUCUGUCACUUGGGCAGAGCCUUUGAGUCGCACUCAGGUGAUCUCCAGGUCUACACUCUCCCACCUGUGCUCCGAGGAGAGGUGUAGACUAUCUCUUGGAUUUUGCUUGGAGGAUGUCCUUUCCGGACUCAGGACCUAGGAGAGACCAGCAGGAAACAGAACAGAGUCUACAUAGGUGAAUAUCAAAGAAUCACCUGGAGAGAUUUACAGAUGUUUGUAGCUGGAGCCUACUCACCUACAGAGACCUCCUACAGAGGGGCUCUGCCCUGGCCUUUUGGGAUUCAGAGCUGAGGCGGGACACAGAGUUCGACAAAGCCAGAAGACUGAUAAUCUCAGACCUAACUGUACUGGGAGCUGGGAGCUGGGAGCUGUUGGCUUCAGGAAACUUAACCCUCUCUUGUUUAUUCUAUGGCCGAAAACUGCUGACUUCUUUUCGCUUUAACUCUGUGCUCUGGAGAAACUUAACUCUUUGUGCUUAAAUAAGCACUGGGGGUCACUUAACUCUUUGUUACUAUUCUGUGCUUUAAUAAACGCUGAGCAUUCUUCAA